ACAAGCUGAUAUAGACGGUAUUUCGUGAU
rnacentral:sRNA from 1 species